rnacentral:rRNA from 1 species
CGGGGUGAGUAAUGUCUGGGAAACUGCCUGAUGGAGGGGGGUAACUACUGGAAACGGUAGCUAAUACCGCAUAACGUCGCAAGACCAAAGUGGGGGGACCUUCGGGCCUCAUGCCAUCAGAUGUGCCCAGAUGGGAUUAGCUAGUAGGUGGGGUAACGGCUCACCUAGGCGACGAUCCCUAGCCGGUCUGAGAGGAUGACCAGCCACACUGGAACUGAGACACGGUCCAG